GCUGCGGCGCUGCGGGCGGGCGCCGGCGGAGCGUGGGGGCCGCGGACCCGCUGGCGGCGGGCGCGGCACCUGCAGUCGGCGUCGGUGGGCUGCCGUGGCGUCGGAUGCCGCCGUCGCGCUGCCGCUGCGAUGAGUGCAGUGUCGAAGCCCCAG